UGCGUGACAGACGAGGGCACAGCCACACUGCGGCCACCAGGCCUCUGGAGGCCUGCUCCUGCUCAGAACCGACGCCGCCCCCAGGCCCCGGCGAGCAGAGGCCCCUCGGGAUCCCUUCCGCUCCGGCCCGGGGCCUACGAAGGCCGCUGCUUCCUCGAGACAGGAGUCGGUGCUGAGGACGUCCGGCUUAUAACAAACACCUUGCUGGCACCCACACGGACGCUGAGAGGAGUGGGCUUUGCCUGCUCGGAGAUGCCCCACGCCGUGAGCUGCCACACAGCCUUGCCCCUACCGCCUGGUCACCAGCGCCGGGGCUACGGCCCCAGAGGACUGUGCGCACGGGGCCCCAGAGCGCCUAGCCCAUGACAUCAGCCGAAAACAAAAACCAACGUAUCGUGCAGCGCCUUCCUCGCACAGGAGACAUGGAGACACGUAACGCAGACGACAAAUAAUCUCCGUGACCGACGGGCCACCCCCUCCAGGCAACCAGGCAGGGCACGGGCAUGCCUCGGGGCCCAGUCCCCCGGACGGAUACACGAGGCCCUCACAAGCACGUACACACACAGCUCCGGUUUCCGGCCUGCGCACCCGGACUACCGGGUUAAGAUUUUAUUUCAGGAAACCAUUAUCUCAAAAGAUGACAAACUCGAUUCACAAAUGCUCGCUGGACCUGACGCCCACCGCCAUGGGGCCUUUGCGUCUCUCCCGUCCUGCUGACCGGUCACGGUGAAGAAGCCUUCUCACCAGGCACACCCAGACAAGUCUCAACGUGGCCAUCAGGCCACAGGGGGGCUUCCAGGUGGUCUGCAGGUGCCCUCUGGGGUGCAAUCCUGCCAGCCCUGCCUUCUUCGCUGUCACCAUCUUAAAAACAGCUAAAGCAGGUAAAAAUCCCUUUUUUUCAGAAUUAGUCUAACACCAUCCAGGACACGGACGGGAGCCGCCACACUAAGGUGGGGGCAAGGAAGCCGAGGUCAGCAAUGUUCCAAAGUCCGUGUGGAAAGGGAACCCAAAACACAAAAUCCAACAGAAACCAGUUUCUAUGCCAGAACACAUAAAUCCAGUUGUCAAACAAAACAAAAAUGAAACCAUAAAGCCCACCUAGAAAGGACCGUGCAGGACACACCCCUCCGUCCCCGUCCCCGCCCCCGGGCUGCUCUCCACCGCCACUGCGGCCACUGCGGCAAGGGAGGGACAGCAGGAGCCCACCUUUCUCCUGUCCAAACGGACUAAGAUUUUUCUCACUACAACCUAGUGCUUCAUAAAGAUACGGAAAAAUACAGUGGUUGGAGCUCAGAUCGACCAAUAAAUUAGUUGAGAUCUAC